AACUGCUUCACAUUUCAUAUCGUUCAUAAAUAACUAUUCGCUAGGUUUUCAGUACUACAGUGACUAUACACUUCUUAAAGUUGGCAUGAGCAAAACUAACAGAUCUUAUUUUAAACAGAAAUCUUGCUAAUUAUUAAUAGUCAUUUUCAGAGAAGAAAUGGAGCUAUGUUUGCUAACAAUGUUUUGGCUCUUUAAUGUCCUGAUAUUGCUUAUUGGCUACCUUUUUGACAAACAUCCAUCACUACUCCCCAUCAUGCCCUCUUUAUUUCGGUGGGGAAGAUGCGAAUCGGACAUGUUGAUGGAGGGGAGACAUUUUACCUUCUUCCCAAAAGGUGGUAUCAGCAUUUUUAUGUCACUGGAGUUUUUGUAAAUGGAAUAUUGCUGAUAUUGGUGUGUCUCAAUAUAUUUUUUGGUCAGCCUUUCCUGCUAUUGUCAGACAGCUACUAGAGAUAUUUCAGCAUCCCACUAAGGAGACAGGUCUUACAGAUGCAAUUCCUUUGCUGACAGUGUUAUCAAUGCACCAGAUUCAAGUCAUGCGACGCUGCUAUGAGACAUAUUUUGUGAAUAUUUUCUCGAAGAAUGCCUCCAUGUCCUUUUUCAUCUAUGGUUUUGGAAUUCUGUUCUAUGCACUUUUUGGGCUCUCUGUUCUGACAGGUGUGGACUUUCAACAUCUAGAAAUCAGAAGGCCAAUCAGCCAUAUAGACAUUGGGGUUUAUGCAACUGUAUUUGCGGUUUUCAUAUUGCUUCUUUUCUACAAAACCAGUCAUUCAGGAUCUUAGCGGCAUUGCGAAUAAACAAGAAAGAUAGCACUGAAAAGGCUGGGUACAUAAUGCCUUGCGGAGGUCUGUUUGACUACGUUUCCUGUCCACACUUUUUGGCAGAAAUGAUUAUCUACAUCUGCUUUGCAGCUGUUUUCUGUUUCCAGCAUACAGUCCUUCUCAGUGUAUUACUUUUUGUCAUCACCAAUCAGCUAAUGGCUUCAGUAAUGACGCAUGCGUGGUAUCGGAAAAUUUUUCCAAAUUACCCUACACAAAAAAGCUGUGAUCCCAUUCAUUUUGUGAUCAUCUUUAAGGCCAGAUUAGCUGUUUCUUUUUGCAUAUUUUUAUGUCUCGUAUGCAUAUGUCAAUACUGAAAAUUCUGCCCUGCAAAGCAAGAGGGCAAGAAGUUUAUUCUUCACCCACUUGGGCAUAGAUAACUUAAUUUGCUAACAUUUAGUCAUAUUUUGGCAUUAAAAUGAAUCCAUGCAAGCACAGACAUAUAUAGGUGGAUUGCUGUCUGUCGUCCAAGACAACGCUUAGCCUCUUGCGAAGUUCUCCACUGUUAGUCUCGGCGAGCCUUAACAAUGAAUGUAAACUGGAAGCUUUGUACAAAUAUGAAUAAACUGAAAGCUUUGUACACACCUGCCUUGUUUUAGUAGUUAACUGGAAAAAAACUGUCUGCCAGCAGUCCAGUAAUACAAGUUUGUGAUGCAAGAGAGAACAUGAUGGUUAUCUUUCCAAAUGUGGAAUUUAUUUUUGGUAAGAGGGGGCUGUUGCUCAGCAUGCUAGUCAUCUAUAUGUGCUUUGUCACGAAAGAUCUCAGUUUGUACAAAUUAUGAGCCUUAGUUAUUUUUUCAGAUCAGUCUCUGGGUCCAUUGAUAGAAUUUUUUAUCGUUGUUUUGGAAGAACAAGAAAACUAAUACUGUUUUUGAGCAACUUAUGUUUGGAAAAUUAUACAUUGUGCAUACAAAGAGGAUAUUUUAGUAGCUGUGUACAGAAACAUGCACCUUACACUUUUGUUAUAUGAAAAUAUAAGAGAUUGUUUGCUUCAAAAUUUGGAUAUCAAAUUGAAAAUAUUUAUUUUCAUUGUCAUGAAGUGAUUGUACUACUUUGAUUUAAACUUUCAGUCUGCACAAUGCUAAAAAUGAAGAAUUGGUCGAAGAAUUAUCUGUAGAGAUUAAAUUACAACUAGGAAAUGACUCAAGAGCAAGCAAGUAUGAAACUUAGCUUGCUUGCUCCAGUUAUCCACUACAUAUAGUUGUCAUCUGACCAAAAGUCGAUACUUGUCGAUUUAGUAGCGUUCAGUAUUAUGGUGUAAAAUGACUGUGUUCAUCAGCUUACUUUCCACCUGACAAAUGGUGCUGAUAUAGAUUUUUAAAAUUCUUAUAUUUUGUAAUUUCAAAUUAUUUGUAUGUGCUGCACUACCAUGACUCUAGUCUAUUGUCUGAUUUGUAAAUAUUAAGUACAUUUCAGUGACAGAUGAUUUGGGUAUACAAAGUGCUUUGAACUGAGUGAAGUAUAUUUUUGUUACAUGAAUCUAUAUUGAUUUAGCAUUCCUUUAUGUGCGCCGAUUAUGCCAAAAUAUGUCAUGAACUGCCAUUUUUAUGGACCUGAGCUAUUCAUGUAUAAUUUCAAGUUACAAAGUAAACUUUUUUUUUGACCAACUUGUAAAGGAUUUUGUAAAUGUAUAGGAUGUUCAAAUUCCUUAGAGAGUUUAUCCAUGAAAACACUGUAGUAUUAUGAUUGCUCACAGCAAGUUUUGCCAUUUGUUUUUUUAAUCUAUGGUGCAGUAAAUUAAUUGGUAAUUAUAAGUUAAUUGUAUAUUUGCCGCAUACCCACCAUUAAAACCUCUUUUCUAUAGGCACUUCUCCUUGACACUUUUCACUAUUAACCUGUUCUCCUCCCAUUUUAUAUCUCUGACCUGGUGAUCUUCCUUCUUCUUCUUUCUUCUUCUUCUUUCUUUCUUCUUUCUUCUUCCUUCUUUCUUCUUUUUCUUCUUUCUUUCUUCUUUCUUCUUCCUUCCUUCUUCCGUCUUUCUUCUUUUUCUUCUUUCUUCUUCUUCUUCUUCUUCUUAAAUGCUAAAAAAAUACCGAUGAUCUUACCUGUCACAGGAGUAGUUCAUAAGAUUGAAUAAAGAGUACCAAAAAAAAAAAAAAAA